UACGUAGGGGGCAAGCGUUGUCCGGAAUCAUUGGGCGUAAAGAGCGUGUAGGCGGCCCGAUAAGUCCGCUGUGAAAGUCCAGGGCUCAACCCUGGAAUGCCGGUGGAUACUGUCGGGCUCGAAUCCGGAAGAGGUGAGUGGAAUUCCUGGUGUAGCGGUGAAAUGCGCAGAUAUCAGGAAGAACACCCGUGGCGAAAGCGGCUCUCUGGAACGGUACUGACGCUGAGACGCGAAAGCGUGGGGAGCGAACAGG
rnacentral:rRNA from 1 species